UACGAAGGGGGCUAGCGUUGCUCGGAUUCAUUGGGCGUAAAGGGUGCGUAGGUGGCGCCGUAAGUCGGGUGUGAAAUUUCGGAGCUUAACUCCGAAACUGCAUUCGAUACUGCGGUGCUUGAGGACUGGAGAGGAGACUGGAAUUCAUGGUGUAGCAGUGAAAUGCGUAGAGAUCAUGAGGAAGACCAGUGGCGAAGGCGGGUCUCUGGACAGUUCCUGACACUGAGGCACGAAGGCCAGGGGAGCAAACGGG
rnacentral:rRNA from 1 species